GCAGGAGGAGGGCCUGGAAACUCUAACCGCCCCCCCCCUUCUCCUCAGCCUAAACUGGCUGUCUUGGACGGAGAGAAGGUCACCUCCCCAGCCUGUCCGGCAGUGAGGCCCCUCGCCCAGGCCUGGCCCUGACCGCCUGGGAAGCCGGCUGGCUGGGUGGGGCGCCCCGUUAGUCAUCGCUGGGCUCCCUCCCGGCCAACUCCUGGCCCCUCCCCGUGGCCUCCGGCGAGGCUAUCCCCCCCCACCUCCUUCUGGACCCAGUUCCAACCUCCAACUCUUUUGGCCUGUCAUGCUGGCUGUCAGACUGGCCUAGGAGCUGUCAGGGUGCCAGGGGGUUGAUGGAGCAGCUGGUGAGAGGGGUCAGUGGCCUGGGCCCACCCCGCCCUGCAGCCAAGGGCACCUGCUUGGCACAAGAUGCCCAGCAGCCGUGGAGUCUUGCAGGCUGAACCAUGCUGUCCCAGACUAAGGGCACUUGGGCAGAGUUGGGCUAGUCAGCGAGGGGAAGGAAGAUAUCACAAAGUUUGGGCUUCCCAAAAGGCUUUUGGAAGUUGUGCCCCACCAAGCCCCCCAGACACACACACCCUAAUGGUUCUUACCCUCUGAGUGUACUGAGCCGGAGGCAGACCCUCCUGGGCCCUCUGAGUCUGGCCUGGGCCGUGCCCUUGGACAGUGUCAGCGCCCAGCCCUCGAGCCUGCCACGCCCCCAGCCCCCUCCCUGGGCCAUGCUGCAGGGCCCCGGCUUUUCCUGCUGAUUCAUGCGUUGGAACUGUGGGGGCGGGGCUUGGGACUUGGAACAAAGUUCAGACACGGAGGGGCCGGCAGACAGCCUGGAAUUCAUACCAGAUGUACCCGGAAUGUGCGAGCGGAAUGCCUGGCAUCCCAGAGUCCAGAGGAAGCUGCCCAACCACCCUACCCGGGCCUCCCUCCCUCCCUCCCCGCCAUCCUCUGCCCAGCCAUCCUCUGCCUCACAGCCCAGGACCCUUCCUUAGCUGAGCCGCUCCCAAAUUCUGACCUUCCUCCUCUCAUGCUUCCCAGGGGCUAGGCCCACCCCACCCCCAUCCUCAGCUGACUGCAUCCUGCUGAAUUCCCUGGAACAGCUCAGCUCAGCUCAGCUGAUCCUUGCACUCACCUUUCUGGAAGACCUGAGGAGCCGGUAUCUCUCCUGCCCACCUGGCUGAGCCGCAGUAGUUCUUCAGUGGCAAGCUUUAUGUCCUGACCCAGCUAAAGCUGCCAGUUGAAGAACUGUUGCCCUCUGCCCCUGGCUUCAAGGAGGAAGAGGAGGAGCAGCAGCUGCUUUCCUUGUCUUCUGGAAGGUUGGCCCGGAGUCUGAAUCUAGAGGGACGCAGCUUCUGUGAGCCCACCUAUCUCUGUCUCUUCACCUAUGGGAUGGGGCUCUGUCCUGAUGGGCAUGCAUGCUCUCCUGUUGCUGUGAGUGCAAACAAAACAGACUUUUUUUUUU